AGCGCAGGCGGAGCGACAAGCGGUCUGUACAAUGCCGGGGCCUAACCCCGGACCUGCAGACCGGACUGCCGUUCUUGAGUCGUUCAGAGGCUGGCGGAAUUCCUGGUGUAGCGGUGGAAUGCGUAGAUAUCAGGAAGAACACCGAUGGCGAAGGCAGCCAGCUGGGGACGUACUGACGCUGAGGCUCGAAAGCGUGGGAAGCAAACA
rnacentral:rRNA from 1 species